CCUACGGGGGGCAGCAGUGGGGAAUAUUGCGCAAUGGGCGAAAGCCUGACGCAGCGACGCCGCGUGAGGGAUGAAGGUCUUCGGAUCGUAAACCUCUGUCAGCAGGGAAGAACGGUCACUGUGCUAAUCAGCAGUGAAUUGACGGUACCUGCAAAGGAAGCACCGGCUAACUCCGUGCCAGCAGCCGCGGUAAUACGGAGGGUGCGAGCGUUAAUCGGAAUUACUGGGCGUAAAGCGCUCGUAGGCGGUAUGUCAAGUCAAGGGUGAAAUCCCCGCGCUCAACGUGGGAACUGCCUUUGAAACUGGCAAACUGGAGUGUGUGAGAGGAGAGUGGAAUUCCAGGUGUAGGAGUGAAAGCCGUAGAUAUCUGGAGGAACAUCAGUGGCGAAGGCGACUAUCUGGCACAUAACUGACGCUGAGGAGCGAAAGCGUGGGUAGCAAACAGGAUUAGAUACCCUAGUAGUC
rnacentral:rRNA from 1 species